GCCUGCAGGGACGGGGAAGAGACUUCCUGGGCCAGGUCCCUCUUCUGUCAAGGUACCUCUUGCUCGUUUUCCCCGAGAGUGUCAGUGUCUCCUGGUGGCAAGGGACAGUCUUGGAGCCAGUAGAGGAGAGUGGGUGCCCUGGCUGCUUGCUAUUGUCAAGAGUCCAUUUUGAUCCCCCUUGCUGGAGGUGCCAGAGAUCUCAGGUCAGCCCAGAAGAAACAUGAGCAUAAGGAGAUGUGCGCAGGGAGAGUCACGGCAACUUUACAAGUCACGGUGACGGCCAGACAGGUUCUCAUGAUGCUGCCACCAGAGAAGGCUUAAGCAGGUUGCUAGGUCUUCAUCCUGGUGUAAGCAGUGAAAAUGACUGCCUUAGAAAUGC
rnacentral:lncRNA from 1 species